AAUAAUAAUAAAUAAAAAAAAGUGCUGUUAAAAAAACAUGCAAUAAAUGGCCUAAAAAAACUAGACAAACCACUAAAAAACUCAUCGGAGGUUCAAAAUGCGAUUUUCCUGUAAGCGAUUUACCAACUUAUAGAGACAUUUAUAGAUACUUUUAUUUCGUACAAUCCGAGUUAAAAAAUAAAUCAAACAUAAUUGAUAAAACCCAACAAGAACUUGUGAAAAUUUGGUUAAAAGUAAAUCCAAAAUUGCCCUUGAUAAAAAGUGAGUCAAUUUAUUUAAAAUUGGUCAAAACAUUUAACACAAUGAAACUUAUUAAUGGAAAAAAGUGCAAAAAAAGACCUCAAGUUGCAGCAUAUAAUGCAUUGGAAAAUCUUUAUGAUAUAUCUACCUGUAGAUGCAAUUUAGACGAAGUUCCAUGCUAUGAUGAUAGGGUGAAAUGCAAAUAUCUAACCUGCAAUAAUAAACAUUUAGUAUGUGUUUGUCCUCCAGAGUGCAAGAUUCCGCUGGAGGAACGAGAAUACAUCAAAGACCAAAGAUCAAGAAAUGGCACAAAAGGAAACAUUCAGUUAGGGCUAAUAGAUUGGAGCACUGUAAAAAAAGAAAAAAGAAGAGUAGGAAAGUGUUCUAAUGUUAAAGUACCCUCAUGUGAUAAUGGCGAAUCAUCUUUUGAUAUAAAUUUGGAGUCUGAUACAGAAUCAUCAUCAGAUUCAGAAUAUAAUGAGUCAAUUGCUAUUUCAACAUAUAAUUUAAGAAAGCUGGAUAACUUUGCUUUAGAGUGUGUUCGGUAUGCGAUAUCGAGUGAAGCUGCUGCAGCUCUUGGUAAUGGACUUUUAAAAGAUAUUGGAGUUAUUACUAAAACUGAUAAAACUGACGUUUUAGAUAAAAGUAAAAUGGAUCGAGCUAAAAAAAGGGUUUGUCUUCAGUCUGUUGCUGAACACAAUAUCAUAGUGCAAAAUCUAUCAUGUAUUGGAUGUGACAGUAAGGAUGAUAAGAUAGCCUGGUUUAUAGAAGUAUGUUGCCAGAUAGUAUUAGCAAAAAAAAUAAAUUAAUAGAAAAGGUUUAUCAUCUAAGUUUUACAGUAGAAUCGGGAGAAAUAAAAGGUAGAUAUCUGACACACAAAGAUAUUUUAAAUGCCACAGGAGAAAAUUUAGCGCAGUCUACUUUUGAAGUGUUAAAACAAUACAACAGUGUUGAUUCUUUGUUAAGAAUUGUUUUUGACAAUACAAAUGUCAACACUGGAUAUAAAACUGGCCUUUGUGCCAGCCUUGAAAGAAAACUUGGCAGAACAAUUCAUAAAAUUGGCUGUGCACUUCAUAGCAACGAGUUACCUUUGCGCCAUAUUAUAGAACAGCUAGAUGGCGGUACAAACACUCCGCAAACAUUUUCUGGUGAAAUUGGAAAAGGUGCAGCACAAGACCUUCAUCAUAAACCCAUUGCCAAAUUCGAACUUGUUUUGACUUCUUUAGUUUUUCCAGAAAAUAGUGUGAUCAAUGACUUAAGUUCUGAUCAAAGGUUAUUGCUGGAAUAUGUGUGUGGUAUAAGUUCAGGUGUUGUAAAUCCAGUUUACGCUCAUUAUAAAAUUGGUCCAGUUAAUCAUGCUAGGUGGCUGACAUUAGCAAUACGUAUUUUAGUUUUGUAUUCAAGAACAGAACAACCUACUCCUGUCCUUAAAGAGAUAGUAAAUUACAUACAGACAGAGUAUGGCUCCACAUGGUUUGCUAUUAAGAAAUCAAAGAACUUUACUGAAGGGCCAAAAAUUUUAUACACAACAUUAAAAAAUAUAAAAAAUUUUAGCCAAACUAUACAAGACAUUAUACUACCUGUUGUUUUAAGAAAUGUGUAUUGUCUUCUUCCAGAAAACUUUCUUUUAUCCCUUUUUGUUGAUGAUUUGAAAGAAAUACGAAACAGAGCAAUUAGGCUGAUUUUAAAAUGUCGAGAUAAUCCUCCGGCUGCCCCAGUUGAUAGAAUAUAUGGUGGUAUCAGAAUUAACAAAAUCCCAAAUAUUGUAAAUCUUGAAAUUGAAUGUGAAACAUGGGCAGAUCUGCUUUCUGAUGAUAAACUGAUCUAUAAACCUCCUGCUACUAAGAAUCUGACUUAUCUGGAACUACUCAAUACAAUUGAAUGUAAACCAGAUCCUUGUGAGCUUGGUUGGGAAUUUUUCGCUACAUAGUCAGUCUGUUAAGCGUGCUGUAAAGCUUGUUUCUGAGGUUUCAAAAAAAGACUAUUCUUUACAGAAUAGACAUGGUUUAGCAGUAGGGAAGCAAAAAAGUCGAAUAUCAAGAAAAAAGUUUUAUUCAAAAAAAGAUUACGAUAUAUAGUA
rnacentral:misc_RNA from 1 species